GACGAACGCUGGCGGCGUGCUUAACACAUGCAAGUCGAACGAGAGCGUAGAGAAAGCUUGCUUUUUCUACAAUCUAGUGGCAAACGGGUGAGUAACGCGUAAACAACCUGCCCUACGGAUGGGGACAACAGCUGGAUACGGCUGCUAAUACCGAAUACGUUCCGAAAGUCGCAUGACUAUCGGAAGACAGGAUGGCCUCUAUUUAUAAGCUAUCGCCGGAGGUGGGGUUUGCGUCUGAUUAGCUAGGUGGGGGGGUAACGGCCCACCAAGGCGACGAUCAGUUGCCUGUCUGGGGGGAUGGACGGCCACAAUGGGGCCGGGACACGGUCCCGGCUCCUACAGGGGGGAGCCGGGGGGAAUCUUUCGCAAUGGGCGACAGCCUGACGGAACAACUCCGCGUGAGUGGAGGAGGCCUUCGGGUUGUAAAGCUCUGUUAUACGGGGAGAAUAAUCUUGUGGUUAAUACCCAUGGGGAGUGACGGUACCGUAAGAGAAAGCAACGGCUAACUACGUG
rnacentral:rRNA from 1 species